rfam:Cavia porcellus supercont2_46 genomic scaffold, whole genome shotgun sequence.
GUGAGGAGGUUGAACAUCCUGCAUGGUGCUGCCACGAAAUCCCUUUGUCAUACUAAGAGGGGACUGGCUGGUUGCACAUGUAGGAUGUCCCAUCUCCUGGCCCACUUCAUCA